rnacentral:rRNA from 1 species
CGCCUCUUGAUUACAAAUAAGAGGUCCAGCCUGCCCAGUGACUUUGUUCAACGGCCGCGGUAUCCUAACCGUGCGAAGGUAGCGUAAUCACUUGUCCUUUAAAUAAGGACUAGUAUGAAUGGCCCCACGAAGGCUACACUGUCUCCUUUUUCUAAUCAAUGAAACUAAUCUUCCCGUGAAGAAGCGGGAAUAAUUAUAUAAGACGAGAAGACCCUAUGGAGCUUUAAACUAUUGAAACAUUUGCUUUAUUCCUCUCUCCUCCUGAGCCCUUUCAAAUAUUUUAGCAUUUUUAUUUCUAGUUUUAGGUUGGGGUGACCACGGAGUAAAACUUAACCUCCAUGAUGUAAGAGAAUUCCCUCUCAACUGAAAGUUACCACUUUAAGCACCAAAAAAUUGACUUCCAUUGACCCAAAUAAUUGAUCAACGAACCAAGUUACCCUAGGGAUAACAGCGCAAUCUACUUCAAGAGCUCAUAUCGACAAGUAGGUUUACGACCUCGAUGUUGGAUCAGGGUAUCCUAGUGGUGCAGCCGCUACUAAUGGUUCGUUUGUUCAACGAUUAAAACCCU